AAUAGAUACCCUGGUAGUCCACGCCGUAAACGAUGGAUGCUAGCUAUUGGGGGGAAUCGACCCCCUCCGAAGCGAAGCUAACGCGUUAAGCAUCCCGCCUGAGUAGUACGAAUGCAAGCUUAAAACUCAAAGGAAUUGACGGGGGACCCGCACAAGCGGUGGAGCGUGUGGUUUAAUUCGAUGGUAAACGAAGAACCUUACCAAGGUUUGACAUCCCGGUAGCCGUUCUCCGAAAGGAGAAUUUCAUUUAGUUGGACCGGUGACAGGUGAUGCAUGGCCGUCGUCAGCUCGUGUCGUGAGAUGUUGGGUUAAGUCCCGCAACGAGCGCAACCCUUAUGAUUUAGUUGGAUUUUUCUAAACAGACUGCCCUGGUAACAGGGAGGAAGGAGGGGAUGGAUGUCAGGUCAGUAUUUCCCUUACACCUUGGGGCGACACACGCGCUACAAUGGCCGGUACAAUGGGCAGCUAAGCCGCGAGGUGGAGCAAAUCCCAUCAAAGCCGGUCCCAGUUCGGAUUGCAGGCUGAAACCCGCCUGCAUGAAGCCGGAAUCGCUAGUAA
rnacentral:rRNA from 1 species